UACGUAGGUGGCAAGCGUUGUCCGGAAUUAUUGGGCGUAAAGCGCGCGCAGGCGGUCCUUUAAGUCUGAUGUGAAAGCCCACGGCUCAACCGUGGAGGGUCAUUGGAAACUGGGGGGACUUGAGUGCAGGAGAGAAGAGUGGAAUUCCACGUGUAGCGGUGAAAUGCGUAGAUAUCGGUAGGAACACCAGUGGCGAAGGCGGUCUCCUGGGGCAUUCUUGACGCUGAGGCGCGAAAGCUGGGGGAGCAAACGGG
rnacentral:rRNA from 1 species